AGUGAACGCUGGCGGUAGGCCUAACACAUGCAAGUCGAACGGCAGCACAGUAAGAGCUUGCUCUUACGGGUGGCGAGUGGCGGACGGGUGAGGAAUACAUCGGAAUCUACUUUUUCGUGGGGGAUCACGUAGGGAAACUUACGCUAAUACCGCAUACGCCCUACGGGUGAAAGCAGGGGAUCUUCGGACCUUGCGCGAUUGAAUGAGCCGAUGUCGGUUUAGCUAGUUGGCGGGGUAAAGACCCACCAAGUCGACGAUCCGUAGCUGGUCUGAGAGGAUGAUCAGCCACACUGGAACUGAGACACGGUCCAGACGCCUACGGGAGGCAGCAGUGGGGAAUAUUGGACAAUGGGCGCAAGCCUGAUCCAGCCAUACCGCGUGGGUGAAGAAGGCCUUCGGGUUGUAAAGCCCUUUUGUUGGGAAAGAAAAGCAGCAGGUUAAUACCCCGCUGUUCUGACGGUACCCAAAGAAUAAGCACCGGCUAACUUCGUG
rnacentral:rRNA from 1 species